rnacentral:rRNA from 1 species
AAUAGAUACCCGGGUAGUCCACGCCGUAAACGAUGUCGACUUGGAGGUUGUUCCCUUGAGGAGUGGCUUCCGGAGCUAACGCGUUAAGUCGACCGCCUGGGGAGUACGGCCGCAAGGUUAAAACUCAAAUGAAUUGACGGGGGCCCGCACAAGCGGUGGAGCAUGUGGUUUAAUUCGAUGCAACGCGAAGAACCUUACCUACUCUUGACAUCCAGAGAACUUAGCAGAGAUGCUUUGGUGCCUUCGGGAACUCUGAGACAGGUGCUGCAUGGCUGUCGUCAGCUCGUGUUGUGAAAUGUUGGGUUAAGUCCCGCAACGAGCGCAACCCUUAUCCUUUGUUGCCAGCGGUUAGGCCGGGAACUCAAAGGAGACUGCCAGUGAUAAACUGGAGGAAGGUGGGGAUGACGUCAAGUCAUCAUGGCCCUUACGAGUAGGGCUACACACGUGCUACAAUGGCGCAUACAAAGAGAAGCGACCUCGCGAGAGCAAGCGGACCUCAUAAAGUGCGUCGUAGUCCGGAUUGGAGUCUGCAACG